rnacentral:tRNA from 1 species
GUGGGGAUAGGUGAGUUGGUAGAGGAGAGGAGUGAAAAAG